UACGUAGGUGGCAAGCGUUGUCCGGAAUUAUUGGGCGUAAAGCGCGCGCAGGUGGUUUCUUAAGUCUGGUGUGAAGGCCCACGGCUCAACCGUGGAGGGUCAUUGGAAACUGGGGAACUUGAGUGCAGGAGAGAAGAGUGGAAUUCCACGUGUAGCGGUGAAAUGCGUAGAGAUGUGGAGGAACACCAGUGGCGAAGGCGACUCUUUGGCCUGUAACUGACACUGAGGCGCGAAAGCGUGGGGAGCAAACAGG
rnacentral:rRNA from 1 species